GGCAAGGUACCCAAGCCUGGCCCAAGGGGCUGGUCUUGAAUAGAACCGAAGUUCUCGAUUCUUUAGAGACAACCAGUGUGUUCUGCACUCGCGGGUUCGAAUCCCGUCCUUGCCA
rnacentral:tRNA from 1 species